rnacentral:lncRNA from 1 species
AUUUAACUGCUGAUCCACACAUCUCUAAAUACAUGAAGUUUCUUGUACACUUCCUUUAAGAAUGAAAGCCAAGGCUAUUGGAUUUCAAGAAAAAUCAUGAACCAAGUAUUUUUUUUCUUUUUAAUACCAAAAUAUUGUCUGAAAAAAAAUGCUGACAUUGUCUAACAUGUUUUUGGUUUAUGAAAUCACUUUUUAAAAUAUAAAAUCUUCACAUCAAAGUAUUAUUUCUGGCUAAAGACAUAUUCACUGUGACUAUAGAGACAGUAAUAAAAGUUUUCUUUACUGCUGACAAACUUGCAUGUGCAUAUGCACUUCUUAAGAGUAGGCUUUUGUUUCUGAGAUGAUAUUAAAAUGUUUUCUUCUUUGCUGCUAACUUCACUGCUGUUAUACUUUCACAGACUUUCACAUUUUGAGACCUGCUUCUAGAUGCCUUUCAGAUUGCUGUACCUCACCAGUUUGUUAUCAUGGACGCCUAUCUCAGAAGGAUGCUUUAAAAACUUCUGUUUAUUUCAGUCUCACAGGCUGCUCUGACGUGCAGAUAUCUGCAAAUCUGUAAGGUAUGAAUCAUCUCACACAUUGCCGAGGUGAAACCUGACAACUAUUUAACAGCACCACUGCAACACUAUGGAACAUUUUAAGACAGGAAAUUAAGAAUACCUGAGCCAACGAAAGCCACAGGGGAAAGUUUAGAUGGACAGAAUUUAAUUACCCAUGCUGGAACUUGGCCAGGACACCAGAACUUACACCCCAACCCUCCUGUAAAGUGCCAUCGGACCCUUAAUGCUAACAAAUGGUCGCAACAUCAGCUUUAGAUCUGCUCCAAAUGAGAACAGCACUAAAAGUCAUCCAAGACCUUCUGAGGUAUUCAUUUACUAGUGACUGACAGAAAAGGGUACAACAUACCUAAUCACACAAAACAGCUAUAGCACAACAUGAAAAAUACCUUCCCUAGCAGCACUGGAGGCUAUUCUCUCGACACAGCUCAAUAUUUUUAGAAGAACUCGGU